rnacentral:rRNA from 1 species
AGAGUUUGAUCAUGGCUCAGAUUGAACGCUGGCGGUAUGCUUAACACAUGCAAGUCGAACGCGAAAGCACCUUCGGGUGUAAGUAGAGUGGCGGACGGGUGAGUAAGGCAUGGGAAUCUGCCCUAUAGCGGGGGAUAACUUGGGGAAACCCAAGCCAAUACCGCAUACACCUACGGGUAAAAGAUGGCCUCUUCUUGAAAGCUAUUACUAUAGGAUGAGCCCAUGUAAGAUUAGCUAGUUGGUAGGGUAAAAGCCUACCAAGGCUACGAUCUUUAGCUGGUCUGAGAGGACGAUCAGCCACACUGGGACUGAGACACGGCCCAGACUCCUACGGGAGGCAGCAGUGGGGAAUAUUGGACAAUGGGGGCAACCCUGAUCCAGCAAUACCGCGUGUGUGAAGAAGGCCUGCGGGUUGUAAAGCACUUUUAUCUGUGAGGAAGGGUUUAAUGUUAAUACCAUUAGACAUUGACG